UUGGAGGGCAAGUCUGGUGCCAGCAGCCGCGGUAAUUCCAGCUCCAAUAGCGUAUAUUAAAGUUGUUGCAGUUAAAAAGCUCGUAGUUGAAUUUCGGGAUUAGUACGCUGGUCGUGCCUUCGGUACGUACUGGUGUUACUGAUUUCUACCUUCUGACGAACCAUCAUGUCAUUAAUUUGGUGUGGUGGGGAAUCAGGACUGUUACUUUGAAAAAAUUAGAGUGUUUAAAGCAGGCUCGCGCUUGAAUACAUUAGCAUGGAAUAAUGAAAUAGGACGUUGAUCCUAUUUUGUUGGUUUCUAGGAUUGACGUAAUGAUUAAUAGGGAUAGUUGGGGGCAUUAGUAUUCAAUUGUCAGAGGUGAAAUUCUUGGAUUUAUUGAAGACUAACUACUGCGAAAGCAUUUGCCAAAGAUGUUUUCAUUAAUCAAGAACGAAAGUUAGGGGAUCGAAGACGAUCAGAUACCGUCGUAGUCUUAACCAUAAACUAUGCCGACUAGGGAUCGGAUGAUGUUAAUUUUUUAAUGACUCAUUCGGCGCCUUACGGGAAAC
rnacentral:rRNA from 1 species